UGGGGAAUUUUGCGCAAUGGGCGAAAGCCUGACGCAGCAACGCCGCGUGUGUGAUGAAGGUCUUCGGAUUGUAAAGCACUUUCGACCGGGACGAAAACCCUCUGGCUAACAUCCAGGGGCUUGACGGUACCGGGAGAAGAAGCACCGGCUAACUCUGUGCCAGCAGCCGCGGUAAUACAGAGGGUGCAAGCGUUGUUCGGAAUUAUUGGGCGUAAAGCGCGUGUAGGCGGCUUUGCAAGUCGGGUGUGAAAGCCCUCAGCUCAACUGAGGAAGUGCGCCCGAAACUGCAGAGCUUGAGUGCCGGAGAGGGUGGCGGAAUUCCCCAAGUAGAGGUGAAAUUCGUAGAUAUGGGGAGGAACACCGGUGGCGAAGGCGGCCACCUGGACGGUAACUGACGCUGAGACGCGAAAGCGUGGGGAGCAAACA
rnacentral:rRNA from 1 species